rnacentral:lncRNA from 1 species
ACUUUGCUUCCAUCUCCAAUGUUCAGGAAUCUCUCGCCUUCAUCAAAUCUCCUACUGACCUGCAGACCCUGCAUCGAAUUGCAAAUAUGAUAAGGGCUUUCGGUAUCCAAUAUCCAGGCAGUAGUAUCACAAAUGGAAAAGUUGCAAGGUGUUAUCAUAUAAGUACCUUGCUUCUUCUUCGGCCUGUUCGGAUCCAGGGAAGCAAUGUAUAGAGGACAGUUCC